rnacentral:rRNA from 1 species
GAUGAACGCUGGCGGCGUGCCUAAUACAUGCAAGUCGAGCGAAUGGAUUGAGAGCUUGCUCUUAUGAAGUUAGCGGCGGACGGGUGAGUAACACGUGGGUAACCUGCCCAUAAGACUGGGAUAACUCCGGGAAACCGGGGCUAAUACCGGAUAACAUUUUGAACCGCAAGGUUCGAAAUUGAAAGGCCGCUUCGGCUGGCACUUAUGGAUGGACCCGCGUCGCAUUAGCUAGUUGGUGAGGUAACGGCUAACAAAGGCAACGAUGCGUAGCCGAACUGAGAGGGUGAUCGGCCACACUGGGACUGAGACACGGACCAGACUCCUAAGGGAGAAAGCAGUAGGGGAUCCUACGCAAUGGACGAAAGUCUGACGGAGCAACGCCGCGUGAGUGAUGAAGGCUUUCGGGUCGUAAAACUCUGUUGUUAGGGAAGAACAAGUGCUAGUUGAAUAAGCUGGCACCUUGACGGUACCUAACCAGAAAGCCACGGCUAACUACGUGCCAGCCGCCGCCGUAA